UACGUAGGGGGCAAGCGUUGUCCGGAGUUACUGGGCGUAAAGCGCACGCAGGCGGUUCGCCAAGUUUGGGGUGACAGUUGUCGGCUCAACCGACAAAGGACUUCAAAAACUGGUGAACUUGAGGACGAGAGAGGAACAUGGAACUCCAGGUGUAGUAGUGAAAUGCGUAGAUAUCUGGAAGAACACCAAUGGCGAAGGCAAUGUUCUGGCUCGUUUCUGACGCUCAGGUGCGAAAGCCAGGGGAGCGAACGGG
rnacentral:rRNA from 1 species